rnacentral:rRNA from 1 species
GAUGAACGCUGGCGGCGUGCCUAAUACAUGCAAGUCGAGCGAACGGACGAGAAGCUUGCUUCUCUGAUGUUAGCGGCGGACGGGUGAGUAACACGUGGAUAACCUACCUCUAAGACUGGGAUAACUUCGGGAAACCGGAGCUAAUACCGGAUGAUAUUUUGAACCGCAUGGUUCAAAAGUGAAAGACGGUCUUGCUGUCACUUAUAGAUGGAUCCGCGCUGCAUUAGCUAGUUGGUAAGGUAACGGCUUACCAAGGCAACGAUGCAUAGCCGACCUGAGAGGGUGAUCGGCCACACUGGAACUGAGACACGGUCCAGACUCCUACGGGAGGCAGCAGUAGGGAAUCUUCCGCAAUGGGCGAAAGCCUGACGGAGCAACGCCGCGUGAGUGAUGAAGGUCUUCGGAUCGUAAAACUCUGUUAUUAGGGAAGAACAUAUGUGUAAGUAACUGUGCACAUCUUGACGGUACCUAAUCAGAAAGCCACGGCUAACUACGUG